AACGCACAUUGCGCCCGCCAGCAUUCUGGCGGGCAUGCCUGUUCGAGCGUCAUUUCAACCCUCAAGCUCUGCUUGGUGUUGGGGCUCUACGGUUGACGUAGGCCCUUAAAGGUAGUGGCGGACCCUCUCGGAGCCUCCUUUGCGUAGUAACAUUUCGUCUCGCAUUGGGAUUCGGAGGGACUCUAGCCGUAAAACCCCCAAUUUUACUAAGGUUGACCUCGGAUCAGGUAGGAAUACCCGCUGAACUUAA
rnacentral:misc_RNA from 1 species